UUGCACCUGGAAGGGGCCCCAACCCGGCUUUGGUGAGACUCUAUCUCCCAGGUGGUGCAGGAGCGGCUGCGGUGUCUGGGGCAAGGGGAAGCCCCAGCAGAAGGAAGGCACCCACUGCCUCUCGUGUUUUCGCUUUGCCUCCUGCCUGCCAACCAAAGGUGAAAGGGGAAGAUUUUGGAGUCCGAAUGCCGGGAGCCCUUGGUUGCCACUAGUUUCUUAGGCAGCUCUUCUGCUCUGCCUGCUGCUGAGCACACAAGUCCAAGGGCACACUGACCUUCAGGAGAGCAAGGAAGCAUGAAUCCUACAAAAAGGAGUAUAGGGAGAAGAGCAGAUGGCAGACUGAGGCCUGGGGGCCUCCUGCUACAGAAUUUACCUAAUCCACCCAGAUUUCAU
rnacentral:lncRNA from 1 species